rnacentral:tRNA from 1 species
GGGAUGAUAGUAUAACUGGUUAAUACACUAUCUUGUCAGGAUAGCUUAUGGCGGUUCGAAUCCGCUUCAUCUCG